CCUACGGGUUGCAGCAGUGGGGAAUAUUGGACAAUGGGCGCAAGCCUGAUCCAGCCAUACCGCGUGGGUGAAGAAGGCCUUCGGGUUGUAAAGCCCUUUUGUUGGGAAAGAAAUCCUGUCGAUUAAUACUCGGUGGGGAUGACGGUACCCAAAGAAUAAGCACCGGCUAACUUCGUGCCAGCAGCCGCGGUAAUACGAAGGGUGCAAGCGUUACUCGGAAUUACUGGGCGUAAAGCGUGCGUAGGUGGUGGUUUAAGUCUGCUGUGAAAGCCCUGGGCUCAACCUGGGAAUUGCAGUGGAUACUGGAUCACUAGAGUGUGGUAGAGGGAUGCGGAAUUUCUGGUGUAGCAGUGAAAUGCGUAGAGAUCAGAAGGAACAUCCGUGGCGAAGGCGGCAUCCUGGGCCAACACUGACACUGAGGCACGAAAGCGUGGGGAGCAAACAGGAUUAGAUACCCCUGUAGUC
rnacentral:rRNA from 1 species